rnacentral:lncRNA from 1 species
CCAAAACGGGGACAAAAGUUGGAUCAGAGCCAGAGUUUCGAGGCCUUUCUUGUUUUUCUGUGCCCUAAUGCCACGUAGGCCACGAGGAAGACUAUCUUUGCCAUUGCUACUACCCCACAUACUACGGAUGAACGACGUUCCUCCAUACCAAUAACCGUCUGUCACCAUGCGGGUAAAUUUAUUAAAUCAAAUUCGGGUGGAAAAUAUACCAAAUGAGCUGCAAUAUUAAUUGGUUCUAGUUUAUUAUUCAAUUUUAUCUGCUAAGAUGAUUCUGAGUUUUAUUUUUUCAAGUUGAACACCAUGUAAUCAUUCAUGGAUUGCCAUUUUUAAUAUAAAACAAUGCAUUGAAUUCACAAAAUUGGAUCACGUCAAAAAUUUAAAAACCACGACCAAGAAAGAUCGACAUUGUUCUCUUUAGCUAUUUUCGAU